CACGUGGUGAUCCUGUCUGAAUAUGGGGGGACCAUCCUCCAAGGCUAAAUACUCCUGACUGACCGAUAGUGAACCAGUACCGUGAGGGAAAGGCGAAAAAGAACCCCGGCGAGGGGAGUGAAAAAGAACCUGAAACCGUGUACGUACAAGCAGUGGGAGCACCUUCGGGUGUGACUGCGUACCUUUUGUAUAAUGGGUCAGCGACUUAUAUUCUGUAGCAAGGUUAACCGUAUAGGGGAGCCGCAGGGAAACCGAGUCUUAACUGGGCGUUAAGUUGCAGGGUAUAGACCCGAAACCCGGUGAUCUAGCCAUGGGCAGGUUGAAGGUUGGGUAACACUAACUGGAGGACCGAACCGACUAAUGUUGAAAAAUUAGCGGAUGACUUGUGGCUGGGGGUGAAAGGCCAAUCAAACCGGGAGAUAGCUGGUUCUCCCCGAAAGCUAUUUAGGUAGCGCCUCGUGAA
rnacentral:rRNA from 1 species